AUGGGUGACAUCAAGGUGCCAAGCCUAUUGUGCCUUCUACUACUCAUGCCACUUCUUUUAGUUCCUUGCUCAGAAGCCAAGACCUGCGAGGUAGCUAGCAGGACCUAUAUGACAAUAGCAUGCAGGGUGGAUCCAUGUGCUAAAGCCUGCCACAAGGAGGGCUUUACUAAGGGUUUAUGUUACAUAUACCCACCAUUUACAAUCAUUUGUAUCUGCGAAAAAGAGUGUUAA
rnacentral:rRNA from 1 species